AGAAGAGGGAACAAGCCCUAUAAGAUUCCUGCCUUGGGCUCAGCGCAGGACAGCACCAGGUGUUCGGAUCUUGAAAUUGCCCAGAAAGAGAGCAACCUUCCGCAGUCCCUUCAGAAGGCCCUGACCUCCUCCUGAGGGGACCCCAGACCAGGAACUCACCAUGAGAGAGCUUGCUGUCAAUGAAGCUUCUCAGCUUUUUACUGGCAUGAGCAAUUUGAAGUUUGGAUUGUGCAACUGGCACUGGGCUUCAGCACAUGGCCCAGCAAAAGCCUGGAAUGGACUCCCUCCCGAAGUUAAAUCCCUCCAGGAUGAAAUAAUCAUAGUCAUUUAAUCCUCUGGAUAUUCUGGGGAGAAAGAGGGACAGAAGGAGUCUUCCGGAAGCUGCUCUGCUGCAGAUCAAGCCUGACUACAUCUUUCCUGCUUUGCUGAGAUGAAAGCCUUCGCUCACUUCCCCAGGUACACAGCAAGCAGUAACAGUGGAAGAGGAACCUGGCCAUGUGGGCCCCUCGCCGUACUCCCCACACCAGGAGGUUGUGCAACCUCUGGCAUGUUCAUGUGACCGUUGGGCCACACAGAUGAAAAACCAGGACAAGACUGACCAGCCACGUUUCUGGAGUCGGGGGCUCCUCUGCGAGGGGCACCAUCUGGUGGGUGGAUUUUCCUAGGGAGACGCCCUCAGUCCUCUGUGGGGUGUGCCUAAACUCUCUCCCAACACCUGAGCCUCACCCUCCCCACCCCAAACUCUGAAGGUUCUUGCUCCAGCUUGCUCCGUACCAUCCCUCCUACCUGCAGAAACCCUGCAACCCUGGUUCUGAUGGGCUCUUAGGUUGCAGCAGCUCCCGGGGUCACUGCAGCAUAGGUGCAAGCUGCCCGGGUUGAUGGAAGAGUAGCUAAGCCACUGAAGGGAAAGGCGAUCUUCCUCUAAGCCUCUACUCGGGGCCUCACUCUGCAAAUGGGCUGGCUUAAAGCACACUGCUGGCACCAGGAGAGGGCUUAGGAUACACAGGAAACCCAGGUUCUGGGCCUGCUCCUCUGUCCUGGCCACGUCUGGUGGGCAGAAUCCUGAAGACCUUCCACUCAGAGUUCCUGUCUCCUGGUUAUUUAACUAAACGCGAAUCUAGGUGUUUCUGUGAGGGGGUUCCGAGGAUGGAAUUACAAGUCUGUUGCAGACUGCAUGUUUGUCUCCCAACCCCCAAAUCCCUAGAUUGAAGCCCCAACCCUCAAUGUAGUGAUAUUAGGAAGUGGGGCCUUUGGGAGGUAAUUAGGCUUGGAGGAGGUCAUAUGGAUGGAGCCUCAUGAUGGGACAGGGCCCCUUAAAGAGGAAGAAACACCACAGCUGCUUCUCCCUCUGCCACGUAAGGACACAGCAAAAAGGCAGCUGUCCGUAAGCCAGAAAGCAGGCUGUCUCGAGGACCCCAACCAGCCAGCACCUUGAUCUUCUAGCCUCCAGAGCUGUGAGAAACCAGUGUCUAUGAUUUAAGCUGCUCAGGCUGUGGUAUUUUGUUACACAGCCCAAACUAAGUCAGGUCCCACAUUAAGUGGACCUUAAGAUACAAAGAUUAUCCAGGUUGGCCUGGCCCCAUCAGAAGAACCCUCUAAAAGCAUAAAUUUUUCUUUGCCUGGUAGCAGAAGGGGAAGUCAGAGAAAUCUGAAGAGUGAGGGAGAUUCUGUGUGAGGGACAUGUGGCAUGGUGAUCCAGCCACCUGCUGCGUGUCAUGGGAGGGCCUGUGAACAGGAAGGAAAUGCAGGUGACUGCUAGGAUGAGGGCCAUCUGAAUGAGCUGGGGGAGCAGAUGACAACAGUCAGUGUGUGAGACCCCGAGCAGGAGACCUGGUUGAGCCAUGACAGACUUCUGACCUACAGAAACUGUGCAAUAAACAGGUAUUGUCUUAUAAGCCACCAAGUUUAUGUAACUUGUUACACCGUGAUAGCAAACUGGUAAUACCACAUGACCUAAAAGGGGCCACUUAAUCUUUCUGAGCCUCCAUUGCCUCAUCCAGAAAAUUCACAGGGCUGUUGUGGAUAAGAGGCCAUUGGGUGUGCAGACAAAGCCCUGGACUGGGGACCAGAAGGCCAGAAUCUGCUAUUUGUGCCACGUUGAGCAAGUCAUGUCACUUAGACUCAUUUUCCUCCCCUCUGCAAUUCAGGCAACAGCAGCUAUUUCUUGGUAACUGAGUAGUAGCCAGACAUAUAGCCACCCAGCCAGAUCACAGUUCCCAGAGCCCCUUGCAACUAGCUAUGGCCCCAUGACAAGGCUUCACCAAUGAACCAUAAGUGCAGGCAUAUAGGAUGCCAGGUGUGGGCCUUAAAACAUGCACAUGCCCUCUGGCUCUUGCCCCUUCCUAUGACUGGAAUACUGUGAUGCUGAGGUCAGCCACGGGGCUUCCACAUGCCAGCAAGGAACAUGACCUAUAGGUUGUGGAGAAAGAAGACGGAGAGAACCUGAGUGGCAGGUGUUGCUGGGUCACCUACUAAUCUGGCAUGCUUGUCUUUGAUGUUGGCUGGGGGAGAAAUAAACAUCUUAUGUUUCCUCAGAUCCACUGGCUAUUGGGGCAUCUUUGUUACAGCAGUCUAGUUCCUGGCUGAACCAAUACAAGCAACCACUACAGGGAAAAUAGGUCCAAGGGUCACAGGGAAAAUUUGGCAAUGCCCUAUAAGCAUUAGCCCAGCGUUUUGCUUUGUAAAACGGAGCUAUUAUAUGUGUC